rnacentral:misc_RNA from 1 species
CCCCACUUCCGUGAUACAAUGAACAUAAAUGCCUUAGCUAGGCAGAUUCUGAUCAAUGCUGGAGGGGUACUCGAGAAUACUGUCUUCCCAGCCAAAUAUGCCAUGGAACUGUCUGCUGUUGUUUACAAGAAUUGGGUUUUCCCUGAGCAGGCACUCCCUGCUGAUCUGCUCAAGAGAGGAGUAGCAGUUCCAGAUUCAAGGCAGUCGCAUGGUCUCAGACUUCUGAUAGAAGAUUACCCUUAUGCUGUUGAUGGUUUAGAAAUCUGGUCUGCAAUCAAAACUUGGGUUGAGGAAUAUUGUGCUUUCUACUACCCAACAAAUGAACUUGUUCGAAAUGAUAAUGAACUGCAAUCAUGGUGGACAGAGAUUCGCAAUGUUGGCCAUGGUGACAAGAAAGAUGAACCAUGGUGGCCUGAAAUGCAGACACAAGCUGAUCUUACACAAACAUGCACUAUUAUCAUAUGGAUAGCUUCAGCCCUCCAUGCAGCUGUCAAUUUUGGGCAAUAUCCUUAUGCUGGCUACCUCCCUAACCGUCCAAC